AACGCGAAGAACCUUACCAGGGUUUGACAUCCCGAGAAUCUUUCCGAAAGGAGAGAGUGCCGCAAGGAAUUCGGUGACAGGUGUUGCAUGGCCGUCGUCAGCUCGUGUCGUGAGAUGUUUGGUUAAGUCCAUUAACGAGCGCAACCCCUUUACUUAGUUAGAUUUUUCUAGGUAGACUGCCCCGGUAACGGGGAGGAAGGAGGGGAUGAUGUCAGGUCAGUAUUACCCUUACACCCUGGGCUAGAAACACGCUACAAUGGCCGGUACAAAGGGCUGCCAAGUCGCGAGACGGAGCAAAUCCCAUCAAAACCGGUCUCAGUUCGGAUUGCAGGCUGAAACUCGCCUGCAUGAAGCUGGAAUCGCUAGUAACGGUAGGUCAGCACACUACCGUGAAUACGUUCCCGGGCCUUGUACACACCGACUGUAC
rnacentral:rRNA from 1 species